rnacentral:rRNA from 1 species
AACGAACGCUGGCGGCAUGCCUAACACAUGCAAGUCGAACGAAGCCCUCGGGCUUAGUGGCGCACGGGUGCGUAACGCGUGGGAAUCUGCCCUUGGGUACGGAAUAACAGUUAGAAAUGACUGCUAAUACCGUAUGAUGUCUUCGGACCAAAGAUUUAUCGCCCAGGGAUGAGCCCGCGUUGGAUUAGGUAGUUGGUGGGGUAAAGGCCUACCAAGCCGACGAUCCAUAGCUGGUCUGAGAGGAUGAUCAGCCACACUGGGACUGAGACACGGCCCAGACUCCUACGGGAGGCAGCAGUGGGGAAUAUUGGACAAUGGGGGAAACCCUGAUCCAGCAAUGCCGCGUGAGUGAUGAAGGCCUUAGGGUUGUAAAGCUCUUUUACCCGGGAAGAUAAUGACUGUACCGGGAGAAUAAGCCCCGGCUAACUCCGUGCCAGCCGCCGCUGUAA